AUGUGUGGGAUGAAUGUGAGCUUUUUGUCAAAGAGUAUGGGAGGAUUGACAGAUUGAGAGCUCUUUCUUGAUUCGGUGGAUGGUGGUGCAUGGCCGUUCUUAGUUGGUGGAGCGAUUUGUCUGGUUAAUUCCGAUAACGAACGAGACUCUAGCCUAUUAAAUAGGUGCGGGGUUCCCAGCACCUUACAACCUUCUUAGAGGGACAAGCGGCUCCUAGCCGCACGAAACAGAGCAAUAACAGGUCUGUGAUGCCCUUAGAUGUCCGGGGCCGCACGCGCGCUACACUGAAGGAGGCAGCGUGUUUUUUUCCCUGUCUGAAAAGACUGGUAACCCGUGGAACUUCCUUCGUGAUUGGGAUAGGGGCUUGCAAUUGUUCCCCUUGAACGAGGAAUUCCCAGUAAGCGCGAGUCAUAAGCUCGCGUUGAUUAC
rnacentral:rRNA from 1 species